UCUAAAUUUUCUCUCUCUCUCCCUCUCGGCACACACUCCCCUCCUCCUUUUUGUUGUUUUUUCUUUCUUUCUUCUCCUUCUCUUCUCUUUGCUUCUUCUCACCCUAUUACCCAAACCCUCAAUCCUUAAAAGAGAUUUAACAUCCCCACAAGCUUAAUUUCUCAAACUCCUACAAAUUCUUUUGGUUGGGAUUUUUGGGUUAGGGUUUGUGUUCUAAGGAAGGAAAAGGGUACCCAUCUCUUGAAAGUGGUUUAUUGAGACUCAUUGAGAUUUGUCAGUUGAUACCCUGCUGGCUACUAUGAGAGUUGUUGGAGAGCAAACUUAGACGAUUCUCCAUAACUAUUCGCAAGCAGCUGAGUAGGAAUCUAUUAUUUGAUUCAAGUCCCAACAAACUUCUUUUUUUUGGUAGGCCUCUUUGAUCGAGGACCAUUUUGUAACAUUUGUUGAGUCUAUGUAAUUGCAGCUAUUUUGGAGUCUAGAAAGUCUAUUUAGUUUUUUUGAGAAGUGUAUUAAGCAAUUUGAUUAUGUUAUUUGAAUUAUGAUUGGAUUGAAAGCUGAACAGGGAUUUUAUAAAAUUUGGGAAUGUUGAA